UAUGUGUAGUGCUACACAGAUACAUGGUAAACCUUUACUGCUGGUUCUGUGGUAAUGUUCAAACAGUCUCUUCUUUGAUGCUCAGAGGGUUUAUUACUGCAAGCAACACUGCAGUUCUGUGGUUAAUGGUUGUUUUAUGUGCUAUAUCUGUUCAGAUCAGAUGCCGUGCUACAAAAUUUGUGGUGAUCAGUAGAUAAAACUAAGACAUUUUAUUCUUUUAACAUUUGUUAGUGUUACCACAGUGGCACAUUCGUUUUAGUUUGCUUUUUUCUUAAUUUUACUUAAAUGUCUUAAUUUGUACGUUACCGUAUUUCAAAACUUUGCUUAUUAUAAAAUGUCCCGAGAAGCAGAGGUUCUCCCAUCAGUCUCAGCUAAAUUUUGCAUUAGCACUGAAACUGGAAAUGGACAAAGUUGCUGUUGUGAAUGGGGUCUGACUCACUUGAAUAACAAGUCAGCCGGUGGUGACCCUGUGAACCGAUUUGGCUCCAAUUACCGGUACUCUGAUUAUUAGCACCAGCCUUCAGAAGGAAAACAUGGCCUACUGAAUCACAAAACUGAAAAUAAAAUAAAAAUAAAAAUAAAAAUAAAAAAAAUAAAGAAAAAACACUUUGCCCGGUUUUUCAAAAUCAGUCUGAAAUUAAGUUCUGCGAUUUUUACUCACAUUUUUCAUUGAGGACUGAACCAAAAAUUUUGAAUCACUUUUUUUUAGAUGUGUGCUCCCUGAGCUCUCCUUGAGCAAGAAAUUAGUUUAAAAUUUUCUUUAAUGCCACGUUUGAUUCUCUGACAGGAGACAACGUUCACAGACGCUUCAGGCUGCAGCCACCGUGUUGGAACAUGCCCCCGCCAACGUUCAACGGAAAAAAAAAAAAAAAAGAACUGCCAAGAGAUAAUCAUUGAAGCAUGACCCACAGAUUCAUGAUCAGUAAUUCACCGCACAGUGUGGCUAAGGAUCCGGCAUCAGCUGGUUUUAAGAAUCACUCCUCCCCUGAAAAACAGAAGGAGUUCACAGUUUCUGAGUGGACUCCGCCAUGAGGGUGAGGGGACACACCUGAGCGAGCGGCACCUUUUGCUUAACUUUUUAGGAAGAGGCCAUUCUUCAUGCAAGUUUGCUCUGCCUUCUGCUCACUUUUUUUUGGCGUGCAUACCUAACUGGCGGGAAUGCAGUUGUGCUGCAGCUGAGAAACAGUCAGACUUGUGGCUACAAGCACACAGCUUAUUGCAUCACAUCCAAUGCAGGAAGACGUUGGUGCAUAAUGCCACCAUUUCUGGCUCUUUAACUUGUAAAAUGAGAGACGCUUGGGUCAACACCCCUCUGCUGCUGCUGCUGCUGCUACUGGCCAGUCUGACCAGAACAGCAAUUUCCCAAGACAAUGAAGGUGCUGAAAACACUGAAGACACUGAAAAUACUGAAAAUACUGAAAAUGAUGAAAAUGUUGAAAAGGCUGAAGAGGUUUCAGACUUAGCUUCAGACAACACGCAAGAUGGUAAUACUGUUAUUUUUUUUAUCACAUAUAAAGAAAUUAGAGUGACAUAAUAAUACACUAUUAUUAAAGCUUACAGGUAUUACAGUACAAGACUUUUAGUUGAAAAAUAUAAUGAAGUUAGAAAUUUGUUUCCCACCACCUCUUA
ensembl:lncRNA